rnacentral:rRNA from 1 species
GUAGGUGGCAAGCGUUGUCCGGAAUUAUUGGGCGUAAAGCGCGCGCAGGGCGGUCCUUUAAGUCUGAUGUGAAAGCCCACGGCUCAACCGUGGAGGGUCAUUGGAAACUGGGGGACUUGAGUACAGAAGAGGAAAGCGGAAUUCCAAGUGUAGCGGUGAAAUGCGUAGAGAUUUGGAGGAACACCAGUGGCGAAGGCGGCUUUCCGGUCUGUAACUGACGCUGAGGCGCGAAAGCGUGGGGAGCAAACAGGAUUAGAUACCCUGGUAGUCCACGCCGUAAACGAUGAGUGCUAAGUGUUAGGGGGUUUCCGCCCCUUAGUGCUGCAGCUAACGCAUUAAGCACUCCGCCUGGGGAGUACGGCCGCAAAGGCUG